CGAACUCUGGUAUUGAUUGGUGCUUGCAUCAUGAUUUACAUUUGAGUGAGUGGCGAACUGGUGAGUAACACGUGGGAAACCUGCCCAGAAGCGGGGGAUAACACCUGGAAACAGAUGCUAAUACCGCAUAACAACUUGGACCGCAUGGUCCGAGUUUGAAAGAUGGCUUCAGCUAUCACUUUUGGAUGGUCCCGCGGCGUAUUAGCUAGAUGGUGGGGUAACGGCUCACCAUGGCAAUGAUACGUAGCCGACCUGAGAGGGUAAUCGGCCACAUUGGGACUGAGACACGGCCCAAACUCCUACGGGAGGCAGCAGUAGGGAAUCUUCCACAAUGGACGAAAGUCUGAUGGAGCAACGCCGCGUGAGUGAAGAAGGGUUUCGGCUCGUAAAACUCUGUUGUUAAAGAAGAACAUAUCUGAGAGUAACUGUUCAGGUAUUGACGGUAUUUAACCAGAAAGCCACGGCUAACUACGUGCCAGCAGCCGCGGUAAUACGUAGGUGGCAAGCGUUGUCCGGAUUUAUUGGGCGUAAAGCGAGCGCAGGCGGUUUUUUAAGUCUGAUGUGAAAGCCUUCGGCUCAACCGAAGAAGUGCAUCGGAAACUGGGAAACUUGAGUGCAGAAGAGGACAGUGGAACUCCAUGUGUAGCGGUGAAAUGCGUAGAUAUAUGGAAGAACACCAGUGGCGAAGGCGGCUGUCUGGUCUGUAACUGACGCUGAGGCUCGAAAGUAUGGGUAGCAAACAGGAUUAGAUACCCUGGUAGUCCAUACCGUAAACGAUGAAUGCUAAGUGUUGGAGGGUUUCCGCCCUUCAGUGCUGCAGCUAACGCAUUAAGCAUUCCGCCUGGGGAGUACGGCCGCAAGGCUGAAACUCAAAGGAAUUGACGGGGGCCCGCACAAGCGGUGGANCAUGUGGUUUAAUUCGAAGCUACGCGAAGAACCUU
rnacentral:rRNA from 1 species